UUUUUGAGAGUUUGAUCCUAGCUCAGGAUAAACGCUGGCGGCGUGCCUUAGGCAUGCAAGUCGAAUGCAGACGCAAGUCGUGCAUGGCAGACGGGUGAGUAACGCGUAGGAAUCUACCCCUUGGUGUGGAAUAACCCCGAGAAAUCGGGGAUAAUACCGCAUAAGUUCUCCGGAAGAAAGGCCAUAACUGGCCGCCGAGGGAGGAGCCUGCGUCC
rnacentral:rRNA from 1 species